GCCAUAUCAUAUUGAAACACUGGUUGUUGUAGGAUCCCAGAAGUUAAGCAACAUCGAUCCUGGUCAGUACCUAGAUAGGUGACUGCUUGGGAAUACCAGGUGCUGUAA